rnacentral:lncRNA from 1 species
CAGUUCGGCCACGAGCUCCUCGCCUUCCCUCGUACUAAAUCAUUCACUCCGAACCGAUUUUAGUUCCAAGUUUAUAUAUAUAUAUUUAUUUAAAUACAUACACAGCCAUGUAAAGAUUUUUCCCCAUGUUGCUCUUGCUGAUCUACAUAUAUAUCGUCCACUGCUGCUAUGUUUCUGCAUCUUCGUUUACCAUAGGAGUCUUGUCUUUUGUUUAUCCACGCAACUUUGCGGUACGUAGAGAAUUCCAAUGGACACGAGAAAAUUACGAGCACCGAGAAUCUCAGAUAAAGGAGAAGUAGAGGUUUCGAAGGGGCACGAGAAAAUCACGAGCACCGAGCCUUUUUCAGAUUUAGUUAUUGUGUUUAAAUAGUUAAAAUUUAAUUUUAAUUGCAACAUUUUAAUUUUAUUACUGAAAGUAUUAGUAAAUAGAGGAUAAAUGCA